UCCAGAGACUGCAAGCGUUAUUCGGAUUCACUGGGCGUAAAGGGUGCGCAGGCGGCCGUGUGUGUGAGGCGUGAAAGCCCGGGGCUUAACCCCGGAAUUGCACCUCAAACUACAUGGCUAGAGCAUUGGAGAGGGUAGCAGAAUUCAUGGUGUAGCAGUGAAAUGCGUAGAUAUCAUGAGGAAUACCAGAGGCGAAGGCGGCUACCUGGACAAUUGCUGACGCUCAGGCACGAAAGCGUGGGGAGCAAAAGGG
rnacentral:rRNA from 1 species